rnacentral:tRNA from 1 species
AUUUAUAUAGUUUAUAUAAAACCUUACAUUUUCUGUGUAAUAAUAAAAUAUUUUUUUUUAUAUAUA